CGUAAGCUUAAAUCCACACACGUGUCGACACGAUGACCUGGGUGCCUCGGCUUAUAUAGCCGCUGGUUGGUCAUUGGGAUACGUGGAGGCCAAACC
rnacentral:sRNA from 1 species